AUAUAUGUAUUAAUUUUUAAACGAUAUUAAUACUCCUGAUUUAUUUUAAUUAAUCGUAGAACCCGUCUACUACUUGACGUCUUCAUCGUCGUUACAGUCGUCGUGCUAUCGAUGCGAAGAGAAAUUGUAAGAA